rnacentral:lncRNA from 1 species
AGGAAAGACUAGGCCAGACCUUAGCACCCCCUGUCAGGGACUUCCUGCUGGUUAAUCCUGCUUCCUCUGCCAGCAGGAAGUCAGCUAGCAAAGAAGCCCCAAUGAUAUAGUCUACAGCAGGCAGCCUGCCAGGGUGCAGAGCAGGGUAGAAAAUGGAUCGGAAGGGCAAAGGUGAGGUAGAGUUGGGAGACUUACCUGAGGUCACAUAGUCAGCUUCACCUGAUUGUCAGGAAAGUAACCCUGUGAACCCUAGCUGGGGAGAAGAACCUAAAGGCAAGAGAGAGAACCGUUCUAUAGGACCCGGGAGGAUUUGCCAUCAUCUGAAGGAAGAUGAGAAAACUGAAAUUUGGAGCAACAUACCCAGUACAUGCAGUGGAUGAGUAACAGUGAUAUGGUUUGGCUGUGUCCCCACCCAAAUCUCAACUUGAAUUGUAUCUCCCAGAAUUCCCACGUGUUGUGGGAGGGACCCAGAGGGAGGUAAUUGAAUCAUGGAGGCUGAUCUUUCCCAUGAUAGUGAAUAAAUCUCACAAGAUCUGAUGGGUGACUGAAUCUUGUCUGCUCUGGGGAGGCACGGAGGAGCCUGUGACUUGUGAGUUCCAGUAAUCAUUGUACAUCUCUGCUUCUGCCUUUGCCAAUGAGCCUGAUUUUAGGCAGAGAAAGAAGAUUCUGCCUAACAAAGUAGAGACAGGUAUCCUGGAGUUCAUGAAAGACGUGUAGCUGAUUCAGCGCUGCCCUUGAAGUAAACCUGACCAUCUCAUUUCCAACUUCUUUUUGGAUGAAGUCUAACUCAAGAUCUCAUGCAAUUGACUCCCAAGGGGCCCCUACCUCAUCUUCCAGAAAUGACUAAGUUGUA